rnacentral:rRNA from 1 species
UACGUAGGUGGCAAGCGAUACUCGGAAUCACUAGGCGUAAAGCGCAGGUAGGCGGCUUGAUAAGUCUUUUGUGAAAGCUCCUGGCUUAACUGGGAGAGGUCAAAGGAAACUGUCAGGCUAGAGUUUGGUAGGGGAUACUGGAAUUCCUGGUGUAGCGGUGAAAUGCGUAGAUAUCAGGAGGAAUACCUAUGGCGAAAGCAGGUAUCUGGGCCACAACUGACGCUGAGCUGCGAAAGCGUGGGGAGCAAACGGG